UCUAUACAGUGAAACUGCGAAUGGCUCAUUAAAUCAGUUAUCGUUUAUUUGAUAGUACCUUACUACUUGGAUAACCGUGGUAAUUCUAGAGCUAAUACAUGCUAAAAAUCCCGACCCCUGGAAGGGAUGUAUUUAUUAGAUAAAAAACCAAUGCCUUCGGGCUCCUUGGUGAUUCAUGAUAACUUAACGAAUCGCAUGGCCUUGCGCCGGCGAUGGUUCAUUCAAAUUUCUGCCCUAUCAAGUUUCGAUGGUAGGAUAGUGGCCUACCAUGCUUUCAACGGGUAACGGGGAAUUAGGGUUCUAUUCCGGAGAGGGAGCCUGAGAAACGGCUACCACAUCCAAGGAAGGCAGCAGGCGCGCAAAUUACCCAAUCCCGACACGGGGAGGUAGUGACAAUAAAUACUGAUACAGGGCUCUUUGUGGUCUUGUAAUUGGAAUGAGUACGAUCUAAAAACUCUAACGAGGAACAAUUGGAGGGCAAGUCUGGUGCCAGCAGCCGCGGUAAUUCCAGCUCCAAUAGCGUAUAUUAAAGUUGUUGCAGUUAAAAAGCUCGUAGUUGAACCUUGGGCCGGGGUGGUGGGUCCGCCUCACCGCGUGCACUCGCCCGCUCUGGCCUUUCCUUCUGGCAAACCCCAUGCCCUUCACUGGGUGUGGCGGGGAACCAGGACUUUUACUUUGAAAAAAUUAGAGUGUUCAAAGCAGGCAUAUGCUCGAAUACAUUAGCAUGGAAUAAUAGAAUAGGACGUGUGGUUCUAUUUUGUUGGUUUCUAGGACCACCGUAAUGAUUAAUAGGGAUAGUCGGGGGCAUCCGUAUUCAACUGUCAGAGGUGAAAUUCUUGGAUUUGUUGAAGACGAACUACUGCGAAAGCAUUUGCCAAGGAUGUUUUCAUUAAUCAGGAACGAAAGUUGAGGGAUCGAAGACGAUCAGAUACCGUCGUAGUCUCAACCAUAAACUAUGCCGACUAGGGGCCGGGCGACGUUCUUAUUUUGACCCGCUCGGAACCUUACGAGAAAUCAAA
rnacentral:rRNA from 1 species